AUUGAACGCUGGCGGCAGGCCUAACACAUGCAAGUCGAGCGGUAGAGAGAAGCUUGCUUCUCUUGAGAGCGGCGGACGGGUGAGUAAUGCCUAGGAAUCUGCCUGGUAGUGGGGGAUAACGUCCGGAAACGGACGCUAAUACCGCAUACGUCCUACGGGAGAAAGCAGGGGACCUUCGGGCCUUGCGCUAUCAGAUGAGCCUAGGUCGGAUUAGCUAGUUGGUGAGGUAAUGGCUCACCAAGGCGACGAUCCGUAACUGGUCUGAGAGGAUGAUCAGUCACACUGGAACUGAGACACGGUCCAGACUCCUACGGGAGGCAGCAGUGGGGAAUAUUGGACAAUGGGCGAAAGCCUGAUCCAGCCAUGCCGCGUGUGUGAAGAAGGUCUUCGGAUUGUAAAGCACUUUAAGUUGGGAGGAAGGGCAGUUGCCUAAUACGUAACUGUUUUGACGUUACCGACAGAAUAAGCACCGGCUAACUCUGUGCCAGCAGCCGCGGUAAUACAGAGGGUGCAAGCGUUAAUCGGAAUUACUGGGCGUAAAGCGCGCGUAGGUGGUUUGUUAAGUUGGAUGUGAAAUCCCCGGGCUCAACCUGGGAACUGCAUUCAAAACUGACUGACUAGAGUAUGGUAGAGGGUGGUGGAAUUUCCUGUGUAGCGGUGAAAUGCGUAGAUAUAGGAAGGAACACCAGUGGCGAAGGCGACCACCUGGACUAAUACUGACA
rnacentral:rRNA from 1 species